rnacentral:lncRNA from 1 species
UUGAAAAUAAAAGUUCUUUGAUCUGAAUCCGUUGUAUGUACACAACUUUUGACAUAAAAUCCUUGCCAAAUCUUUACUCGACUUCGACUUCAAUCUUCCAGCUUCAUGAAUGCUUCUCCAAGCUUCCUUUUUGUAACAAAUUUUACUCAUCCCUACCAGUUCCUUGAGCCUUAACUUUAUGAAGAUGAGAAAAACUCCAACUUCGUUUGUUAGCUUCCGCACAACUCUAUCGAAGUAAUCCUGAAUAAAAGAAGAUCCUUAUUUUUCUACUAGAUUUGUUAAUCCCAGCCAUGACCAUAAACACAAAUUCCAACCCAUGAAA